UAUAUACUAUUUGCGGGUUCACUGUUCAUCGGCUUAGUAACAGUGCCGGCUCGAGCCGAGCUGAAAAUGUGAAAUGACGGUUCUGCCCUUCGUGGUCUGUUUAAUUACGGUAUUAUGUUUGGCCUAGGUAUAAAAGGUCUUGGGGUGAUUGACGCGAGCAUUUCCCUCUCGAAUUCGUUGUAAGCUGUCGUCUGCGCAUCUGGAGAUUCUUGGGUGUGUGGCUGAUUUGGGCGAAGAGAAGGAGGGUGAUUUUGGAGGAAACGGGAGAGGAGUUUCUACAUGACUGAAGGGAAUAAGGCUUGAAGCUUUACAAACAUUGCAGCCUGGGGUGAGAUUUUUUGAUAUUUUUUUUCCUAUGGUAUUGAUUAACUUCUGCCUAUUAAUUUAGUUUGAAAAUUGAUAUGGGUUUUAUUCGAUUUGUUCAUAAUCUUCCUGGGUUUUAUAGAGUCUGGGUUUGUUUCCAUAGAGUUGGGGUUUCUAUUUGAUUAGAUCUGAUGAAGUCUUUUUUCUUUUGGGGUUUUGUUGUUUGUGGAGCAAAUAGGAGAGGAGCUCUUGCUUGCUUGAAAGAAAAGAAGUGGAAGAAUUGAUCAAUUGUGUUUGCUUGAUGUGUCUGCGGUUCAAUCAAUUGUGGUUGUGAUUCCUGCAGUUAGUGCUUCUAAGGCUGUGUAAUUCUUUGUACUUGACAGCCUAUAGGAGACUUGAUUGAUUUUGUGUGCAGGUUCAGUUGGUGCAACAGUAACAUUCAAUGAUGAUGGAAUAGCUGAACACAUUAAACAGGUAAAUAUUCAAAAUAACACAGCUAAGAAGGAUAUCCUCUGCUUCUAUUUCUAAUGUUGUAUGGAUUUUAUAUUUCAAUGUUCUUAAGGCUCCACAUCUCCACAUCUUAUAUUAAUUGUAAUGUUUAUCGGCAGUUGCUGAAUAUAAAGAAACAAAGAAGUAGGAAAAAAAAAAAACACGUAAGAAUAGAAUAAAUAAAAAAACUACAUGUAUAUAGAAGCCAUGUUUAACUGACAUAAAAGCAUAGGACUCCUCAUUAGCAUGAUGUAGCAGCAAAAAGUCAUGCUAAAUAUGCAAGCCGACAUAGCAUUUCUGUACUAUAUAUCUUGACAUUAUUAGCCUUUUAUUUUUAGCCGUUUAUGUAUAUGGAAGAUUAGGUGGCAUUGGAGGUGUUGUCAGUUGUGAAGCUGCUGCUACUAACAUUCCGAUCAUCUUUCUCAGGUUGGUUGCCUAUAAUUGACAUUCCAAAAGCAGGUGAAGCUGUGAAAAAUAGAAGUGGAUAAUAUAUUGGGAACAGUGAACUAUCAAUGUUUGCAAGUAUUUUGAAUUCAGGUUUCAGCUGCUACUGUUACUUUUGCUGCAGCUCCUGCUGUUGGUGCAACUGAUUUAGUUGUUGUGAGAUUAGUCUGCAGGUUUGUGGUUUUUUCUUUUGGUCCAUAUUGUUGAUCCCUUGCCAUUGUUGGUCCAUAAACAUAUGCUGAUCCCUUGCCAUUGUUGGUUCAUAAACAUAUGCUAAUGGACAUCAGCAUCUCUUUUUGGCAGACAAAUAAAACGACAGUUGUAACUAGGUUACCCCGUAAGUAGGACAAUGUAUUUUUGACAAGCUGUUUCAACAGCCAUUGUAAUCUAUAUUUGAAUAUUACCAGAACAUCUAUAUUAAUGUUUAUGUUUGUAAACCAAGAUCUAUGUUAGUUCCAAACUGAAUUCUCUAUCCUUCAAGACCUGCAGAUUCUGUUCCAAAACCCGCAGCAACGCGCGGGCACA